rnacentral:lncRNA from 1 species
GAACUAAUAGGUACUAGAGCUGCUUUCAAUUUCGUUUCUUGCAAAUUUUUUUUUAUCAACGUCGCCAUCGAUUGCAACAAAAUUCAGAUAUAUAUAUAACUUUCAUAUUUUCUAUAUACAAGGGAGAAUUAAAAAAAAAAGAAAAUUAAACUUAAAAUCCAGAUCUGAGUCCUCCGUCGCCGGUUAAAAAAAAAACAAUUCGGAGACCAGUUCAAAUUAUGGAGGAAAAAAAUAGAGGCUCGAAAAAUUAAGACUCAAACCGCCAUAGACAUGACACUGCAACCGCCAUAGACAUGACACUGAGUCGGCUGGGACGAGGUUGGAACGCCGUUCUCCGCCUCUGCUGAUGUGAUGAAGGACGGAUCAAGGCCGCAAGCGCUCGCUUCACCAAAUCGCCUCCUUCCACGCCGGCUAUCCUCACUAGCGAGUUCGUCAUCGCA